rnacentral:lncRNA from 1 species
CAGAAAAUGCAGGAAAGUUCCAAGUAUUGGUUUGGUAGUAGCAAACGCCGUCAUUUGGAAUGUUUAAAACGGUGUGAAGAAGGAUAGGAGUAAUGGCAAAAACACGUCCCCGGUAGUAGGAAGUAAUAGUAGUAAAUUCGGAAUUAAAAGUGGCAUUUGCAUAAAAAGUCCUAAUUAGGUCUGGAUAAAAAGGUCGUGA